rnacentral:lncRNA from 1 species
CCCUCUUCAUCCUCACUAUCAAUAUAUUCUAUGAUAUCCUGUAUCAUUCUAUUUGCUUCCGUUAUAUAUCUGCCUUUUACAAACCCUUUUUGGUCGGGAUGUAUAAGCUAAGGAAGGACUAUUUUUAAUCUUUCUUCUAGUAUUUUUGCUAUAAUUUUAUAAUCACAAGUCAGUAGUGUAAGAGGGCGCCAGUUCCGUAUGUUUUCUCGUUCCCCGCCCUUAAAUAGUAGUGUUAAAACUCCUUUAUAUUGUGAGUCCGACAUUGUUUUUUUAUUAAAUAUUUCUUGCAAUAACGUACAAAAUUCCCCUUGAAUUGUAUUCCAAAAUAAUAUAUAAAAUUCUGAUAUGAUCCCGUCCUCCCCUGGGGAUUUACUUGUUUUUAUAAAUUUUAGAACUUUCAUUAUUUCGUCCGCGUUAAUUUC